rnacentral:lncRNA from 1 species
AUGUAGAGCAGCCAGUACGGAUCAUUGACACCCAGAUCAGAAAGCUAAGGAACAAAGAGAUCCCGAUGGUAAAAGUCCUCUGGAACCACCAUAAUAUCGAAGAGUGCACCUGGGAGACAAGGGAGUCUAUGCUCCGACAGUACCCCCAUCUCUUUUGAGGUUAGUUCUAGCUUCUUUUGUUCUUUAUGUGCCUUAUGUUAUGUUUGGAGUAUGUUUGAGUUAGAGAGGAACAUUCGGGGACGAAUGUUCUUAAGGGGG